UACGUAGGGUGCAAGCGUUGUCCGGAAUUAUUGGGCGUAAAGAGCUUGUAGGCGGUUUGUCGCGUCUGCUGUGAAAUUUCGGGGCUCAACCCCGAACUUGCAGUGGGUACGGGCAGACUAGAGUGUGGUAGGGGGAGACUGGAAUUCCUGGUGUAGCGGUGAAAUGCGCAGAUAUCAGGAGGAACACCGAUGGCGAAGGCAGGUCUCUGGGCCACUG
rnacentral:rRNA from 1 species